AUGUUUAACAUCAAACCACGGUUAGCUCGGCCCACUAAUCCCAUGAUCGACCCCCGUCAUCCAUCCCCGAGCUCGAAGAAAAACAAAAACCCCACGCUCUCGCGUCGGUUGCUCCUAUCCUCCUCCUCCCGCACGACCUCUCGCCCCUUCCUCCUCCUCCCGCCUCUCCCUCCUCCGCUCCCUACCGCUCCACCUCCGCCUUGCCAUUCCCCGCCGCCGCCUCCCCACCCCCCCUCGCCCUCCCCGGCAACAACGACAACAACGGCGGCGGUGGUAACAUCAGCAGCGACGGCGGGGAUGAUGAAACAGGGGACGGCGGCGGCGAGUGGGGCGUUUACCGGGGGAGGCGAUGUUCGUGCUGGCACAGGCGAGAGGAAGAUCUCCAGCCUACCGUCGGACCUCGCCACGACCGUGGAGGGCGGCUGCAUCACGGGCGACAUCAUGCAGCGCUUCACGGAGAUGGAGCUCUCGCCGCUGCUCCGUUGGCUGCUGGGCUUCAGAGGGUCCAGGGAGCCCCUCCUCACCAAUGACCUCUUCAUCGCCAAGCUCGCCAUGGAGAUGGGCGUCAGCAUGAUCGCCAAGACCACUGCCGAGUACGAGAAGAGACGGGAGAACUUCGUCAAAGAAAUUGACAUCGUCAUCGCUGAUGUGGUACCCCUCUUGUCUUCUGCUACUGAAGACGGGCAAUAUGGUGGGGUCGUCAUUCAAGGGAUGGACUUUCCCUUCAGGUUAUGGUCUUGUUUCUCUCAAGGAGAUGGUGAUAGCAAGGGGGGAGCGCAAGAUGUUGCUGAUGGAUUCAACAAUGCUUUUGGCAACGAUGAAGUUGAACUUGAUGACGGACUAGAGAAGAAAAUUUCUGUAAUGCAGCACUUUAGACGUGCAUUUGGCUAUUCUAGGCCCCCCAAUAGAUGUUGUGCGUUUCAGUCCAUUGUAGGAAUAAUUUCAUUGAGAACUCGCAACAAUUGA
rnacentral:rRNA from 1 species